rnacentral:rRNA from 1 species
ACUCAAAUGAAUUGACGGGGACCCACACAAGCGGUGGAGCAUGGGGUUUAAUUCGAUAGUAAGCGAAGCACCUCACCCAGGCUUGACAUCUCGGGAACCCUCCAGAAACGGAGGGGUGCCGCAAGGAACCCGAAGACAGGCGCUGCACGGUUGUCGUCAGCUCGUGCCUUGAGGUGUACUGUUAAGUCAGCGAACGAGCGCAACCCUCAUCCUAUGUUGUUUUUUCAUGGGAGACUGCCGCCUCCAAGGCGGAGGAAGGUGGGGAUGACGUCAAAUCAGCGUGGCCCUUAUGCCUGGGGCAACACCCGUGCUACAAUGGCCGGUACAAAGAGCAGCAAACCCGCGAGGGGAAGCCAAUCUCACAAAGCCGGUCUCAGUUCGGAUUGAAGUCUGCAACUCGACUUCAUGAAGUUGGAAUCGCUAGUAACCGUGAAUCAGCUACGUCACGGUGAAUAUGUUCCUGGGUCUUGUACACACCGCCCGU